CCUACGGGAGGCAGCAGUGAGGAAUAUUGGUCAAUGGCCGAAAGGCUGAACCAGCCAAGCCGCGUGAGGGAAGAAGGCGCAGAGCGUUGCAAACCUCUUUUGCCGGGGGACAAAAGGCCGGACUCGUCCCGUCCUGAGGGUACCCGGAGAAAAAGCAUCGGCUAACUCCGUGCCAGCAGCCGCGGUAAUACGGAGGAUGCGAGCGUUAUCCGGAUUUAUUGGGUUUAAAGGGUGCGCAGGCGGGCCGUUAAGCCGGCGGUGAAAUGGCGGGGCUCAACCCCGCCGAGCCGUCGAAACUGGGGGACUUGAGUGGGCGGGAGGCACGCGGAAUGCGCGGUGUAGCGGUGAAAUGCAUAGAUAUCGCGCAGAACUCCGAUUGCGAAGGCAGCGUGCCGUGCCGAGACUGACGCUGAGGCACGAAAGCGCGGGGAUCGAACAGGAUUAGAUACCCGAGUAGUC
rnacentral:rRNA from 1 species